CAAUUAUCCAGGCUUCAAUCAGCCUGUUUGGAUACAAUAGAGGCAGUGUUCACACACUUGAUGUGCCACAUUCCUUCCCGACAUCAGAAGCAGCUGGUCCAGAUAAAGACCGCUGGGGUUUUGAUAUUUAGGAAUCACGUCCACGGAAGAGCUGGAGUUGAGACUUGAUUGCUUCAUGGACAAAUUCCCUGCAGUGUGUACAGCAAAUUUCUGUUGUGCCUGGGAAGAAGGAAAUUUGAGUUAAAGAGGAGGCCCGCUCCAUAUGCCUUGUCACAAGUACACUCACUGAAACAUUAAUUCACGAAGAGAUUGCAACAAGACCAAAACGAAAGAGGAACAGGGCCUGACAAUGUUCAGAGAAGGAAAACCGAAGAAGUAACCAUCCCCAAGUUAAAAAUGACGUGGGGAUGAAAAAAUAGGUUGCCUGUUGUAUUUGUCAUUGAAAUGCACAAUCUUGUUUACUGUUUAUCUUGAGACUCUGGGAGCUCUCCUGCUGCUUAGGAAAAAAGAGGCAAAGGUUUAGGAAGAAAUGCUAGUCAUAAGAAAGAGAGGCAUUAGAAACCCUAGAGAGAAUGGGAGGUGUAAAUAGUAUGUGGGCAUUUGGCAAUCACCACAAAGAAAUGGGAGACAAAGGCAAGUGUCUGAUGCCAGAAAUCCUAAAAACUUGAGUGGAAAACCCAGACACAAUAAAAAUGUCCAAAAGAAAAAAAAGGCAAAAUCCCAUGAGAUCUUUUUUUUUCUCUGUGAUGUUACCUAAUGGAGAAAAUAAAGGUGGGUUUUGCCACAGUGAUCAUGGUGCCGUAUCCUAAAGGAAGUAGCUUCAUGAUAAGCCUUCAGAGGCUCUCUCCAGGCCAGCCCCAGCCUUAGGACAAAAUGGGACAAUCUUGGGGGACAAUUUCUUUCUCCAAAAAGGGGAUGAGAUUGGGCAGAAGAAACACUUGCAGGGCAGAGUUAUUAUCUCUCUCCCCGAAGAGUUUAAUCAAUUGUGGUCAUUUACAGAUCUCUGUCGUUGUCCUUUUCUCUCUCCCUCUUUCUUUUUCUUUCUUUCUUUCUUUCUUUCUUUCUUUCUUUCUUUCUUUCUUUCUUUUUCUUUCUUCUUUCUUUCUUUUUCUUUCUCUCUCUUUCUUUUUUUCUUUUCUUCUUUCUUUCUGAUGACUUUGCCUUGAAAGGAAUUGCUUAGGAAAGAG
rnacentral:lncRNA from 10 species